GUGGCGAACGGGUGAGUAACACGUGGGUGAUCUGCCCUGCACUUCGGGAUAAGCCCGGGAAACUGGGUCUAAUACCGGAUAGGACUGCGCGGUGCAUGCCGUGUGGUGGAAAGAUUUAUCGGUGCAGGAUGGGCCCGCGGCCUAUCAGCUUGUUGGUGGGGUAAUGGCCUACCAAGGCGACGACGGGUAGCCGGCCUGAGAGGGCGACCGGCCACACUGGGACUGAGACACGGCCCAGACUCCUACGGGAGGCAGCAGUGGGGAAUAUUGCACAAUGGGCGCAAGCCUGAUGCAGCGACGCCGCGUGAGGGAUGACGGCCUUCGGGUUGUAAACCUCUUUCAGCAGGGACGAAGCGUGAGUGACGGUACCUGCAGAAGAAGCACCGGCCAACUACGUGCCAGCAGCCGCGGUAAUACGUAGGGUGCAAGCGUUGUCCGGAAUUACUGGGCGUAAAGAGCUCGUAGGCGGUUUGUCGCGUCGUCUGUGAAAACCAGCAGCUCAACUGUUGGCUUGCAGGCGAUACGGGCAGACUUGAGUAUUUCAGGGGAGACUGGAAUUCCUGGUGUAGCGGUGAAAUGCGCAGAUAUCAGGAGGAACACCGGUGGCGAAGGCGGGUCUCUGGGAAAUAACUGACGCUGAGGAGCGAAAGCGUGGGUAGCGAACAGGAUUAGAUACCCUGGUAGUCCAC
rnacentral:rRNA from 1 species